CUCUUAUCAAGAGUGGCGGAGGGAAUAGGCCCGAAGAAGCCCGGCAACCUUCAAGAAAUCAAUGCUUGAAAAGGUGCUAAUUCCUACAGAUCAGGAAAUGAUCUGGAAGAUAAGAA
rfam:Bacillus smithii strain DSM 4216, complete genome.